rnacentral:lncRNA from 1 species
AAGAUUGCGCUCCCUAGCUUGGCAGGAAAAGUUUUUUGGGUUUUUUUUUUUUUUUUUUUGGCUUUUCUGUGCAUCCUACGGAGGGUCCCCAUCAUCCCCGCGGGGCGCACAGGAGUUGUGAAAAGUACCGCACAACUGGCCUCCGGAAUAAUUCAUCCCCUCCACCUUCUCUUUAGCGCCUCCCACUUCUUCUCUUUUUAUAGCAGUUUCUUUCUCUCGAAAAAUCUCAGGUUACUUGACUGGGAGUUCUCAGACCUCCAGUUUCAGCCCUGCCCUCAGCCUCCAGUCGUUGAGAGAGAGACACCCAGCCCCAGCAAUCGGAUUGGGCAGCCCGCCUUGACACACCACUGUGCUGAGUGCUUGAAGACGUGUUUCACCAGAUGGUUGGGGUUAGCGUGUGUCAUCACAUUCGAGUGGGGAUUAGGAGUAGGAAGGCUGCCUUGCCGGAGCUGUGUGGUCUUCUCCAAGGGAGAAUUGCGGGCAAGAGAACUCCUUUGCUCCGGGGAGAAGAGGAGGAAUUCGUUUUCCGCAGCCAAGAGAAAAGCAGUGUUUUCAGGUGCUGACGGCCAGCCCCAUCAUCUGAGGGAGGUGAAUUUGGCAAAUGACAUGCAGGUUCUCCAAGACAGAGUAAUCACAGAAAAUUGUCAAAGGACCCGGCAGAUGACCCUCUCAGUCUUCUCUGACUGCCAUCAGACUCAUGCUUUGUCUCCUGCAUCCGAGAAGCAAACUGUAGCAGUGUUGACCCACCAGAGGAAACCCUUUUCUCUUGCCCUCAUGACACAUUCCGGCAGGAAGUUCAGAGGAAAAUAACAAUUCCGGUGAAGAUGAGGAAUGGGGAAUGGGAGGGGGGAAGCAGCUUAAUUAUGAUGAGCCUGGGGACUGGGGGCUGGGAAUAGUCACAAGUGGAGAUCAAGAAAAAGAAUGGGAUGAUGUCAUUCUUUACGAGGACACUCACUGAAAUGGAAUCAGGUCACACACAAUGAUCUGUUCUCUGCCCAGAUGCAUUGUGUUAACAAGAGAUUACUUUGUGGUCAUGCUUCUUAGGAGGGGUCUAAGGACCCUGUUCACAUUAAGAUCUUCCCCAAGACAUCUUUAAAAUGGAUAAGAAGGGCAGAACCGUUUCAUCCAGUGCUGAAAAAUGGCCCACACUAGGUUUACAGCAUUUUUUAAGACCACUGAGUUUAGGACAGAGUGUCCGAAUUCUUACAACAUAGUGAAUUUCAAGAAGCAGAGCGUAAUGACAUGGCUUGGUAUCAGGCCAGAGAUCUUAAACUGGUGCCCUUUCUGGUAGGAUAAUUCUGAAGUUAAAAUGGAAUAUAUUUCUCAGUAGAAAGUUGGCACUUCCUGAAAAGAAAUACUGCCUUGUACCAUGGUAAGACAUUUUUAGGACUGAUUAAUUCUGCUUGCAGAGGAAGCAUUUGAUCUGUGUCGAUCUUGAGUUCCUAGUACCCCUGAUGGCGGAUAUAUUCAAUUUUUAAGUCCCUUCUCUCAAUGGUGUCCUGAUUUCACCUCAUUCAUCUGCUUAGAUUUUGCAAGAGUGCAUCACAAUUACAAAUGAAGGUUAGAUUUUCUAGGAAGUUAGCCCUGGAAUAGUUAGUUACAUGAUAGGUUCAAAUCCUGUUAUUAAGAUUCUGUUGUAUUGCAUUAAUAGGCUUCAUACAAAUAAGUCAUUGUCUGAGACCUUUUUUAAAGGAUAUUUUUGCUGCAUGAGUCUUUGCAAUAGAACUGAAACCUUGCAGCCUUUUUACACUGUCAUCUGUGGUUUAGAGUAUCUGUAAAAAUGAAGGUUUGAUUUUGGUAAACCACUGGUAUUCAGGUGCUUGUUUGUAUCUAGGGACAAGGUCUUUCUCUCUCUUAUAGAGUAUACAGAGAUGUAAAAGUAAAAUUGGGUUAAAGUGGGAAUUCGUGUUUGUCAUAUGACUUUGCUCACUGAUGACUAGAGAACUUGUGUGGUAAGUUAGGGCAGAGGUGAGGUGAUGAUGUACAUGUCACAAAAGUAUGUGAAAACUGUUGCAGAUUGUGGCUAUCAACAUGAAAAGAGGCAUGUUUUGAAAGAAUCCUAUUCUGAGCAGAUUUUGAAAUGAACUGCAGUGAUUUCUGCUAACCUUAUUGUUGAUUGCCAGGUAAUUAGGCUAUGGGGCUUCCCUGAUAGCUCAGCCAUUAAGAAUCCACCUGCAAUGCAGGAGACCCAGGAGAUGAGGUUUUGAUCCCUGGGUCAAGAAGAUCCCUUGAAGGAGGAAAUAACAACCCACUCCAGUAUUCUUCCCUGAAAAUCUCAUGAACAGAGAGCGUGGCAUGCUACAGUUCACGGGGACACAAAGAGUCAGACAUGACUAAGCAACUGAGCACAAUUAGGCUAUAGGACCUUUGAGGGAAAAUAAUUAUUUAAAGAUUUUUAAAAUAACCAAAAUAUUUCCCCAAAAAAUAUUUUCAGCACCAUCAGGAGUUCCCAAAUUUUCAAGACAGUGUUUUAUUUUAUUUUUUUUUCUAGUUGGCAUUAAAAAAAUCUGAGGCCAUGAUCAAAAGUUGACAAUGGCAGCUAAAUAAGGCAAGUGUUUAAGGCAAGUGGAUUUCUUUGUAAGAAAAUACACUGCUUACAAAGAAAAUCAAUUAGGUGUAGCUACUUACAAUGAAAUUUACCAUAAAAUUAAUUUUAAAAUUAUUUACUUUUACAGUUUUACCAAGAAAAGAUUGGAUGUAUUUUCUGCAUUAAAAUUUGUUUAUUCUACUUUGUAUGACUCUCUCUAGGUCCACCUAAUAGUGCCAAUAGUAAAGGGCACCAUUUCAUUCCUCCUUAUGACUGAGUAGUAUUCCAUUGUAUAUAUGUCCCACAUCUUUAUCCAUUCCUGUGUUGAUGGAUAUUUAGGUUGCUUCCAUGUCCUGGCUAUU